rnacentral:misc_RNA from 1 species
UUAAGUUCAGCGGGUAGUCUUGCCUGAUUUGAGAUCAUUGUAAAAGUGGGAUGGAUUGGUCGAUCAACGGAAUGGCUUCCUUGUCACGAACAACCCGUGCAUGAAUUCAAGACGAUCAGUGAUGAAGGUCCAUGUGUCUUGACCAACAGGGAUCAACAGCCAGAUGGAUGUGAUCGAAUGUGGAUCAAACGGGAUAGAAU